rnacentral:tRNA from 1 species
GUAGGUGUAGCUCAGUCCGGAUAGAGCCCCUGACUGUGGCUCAGGGUGUCGCGAGUUCAAAUCUCGUCACCUACC